GGCAAACUUUCAAGACCAACCGGAAAUGUCCUAUCUGCGUUUGGAACAAGAAUGCCAGAGAUAUCUACACACGGCCGUCUAAUGGGUCCCUGUGGCUGGCUUUCCCAAGCUAAGUAGCAGAGUCUUACUGCGCUCCUGAAGCGGCAACUCUGAGGGCUGAGAAGAAAUCGCAUCCUCAUAGACCUGCCCUGCCCUGCCCUGACCCAGCUGUGAGCAUCAGGACCUCUGGAGUCUAGGGAAGCCAUGGUCAAGACUCUGCUCUGAGGCCCCCAGGGGCCCUCACGGUUCCCCCAAAGUUUCAAUUACUCAAUAGUAAGAGUCUAUAGCACUGUCAAGUUUUCAACUACAGGCUCCAUGUCUACUGGGUAAGACUCCAACGCCUCAGCAGGGCAAACCAGGGAUCCGUGAUAAAUGAUGACCCACAAGUGGUCUGGCACUGUGGAGUUUGGCAGUCCUCCUUGGGUGUGAUAAUUUCCUACCCACCAACCAUCCUGUCAGCACGUCGGAUUUAAAAUAUCACACGUGGAACAAUGAAAGAUUGCCAGCAUCUCACCACCACCUUUUGAUUAAUGAGCCAUUCCUCUGAGAUGGAUUGGCUUGUUUGAUUCCGUUACCUGGGAUGACUGAUGGCUGUUUUAAAAAACACUUAGCGGCAGCGUUGCCCUGCGUGAGAUAAUUUUCAUACGCCUUUUGCAGCCGCAUCCAGAAUAAUUGGACUUUAUUGCCUGCCUUCCAUGCAUGAACCCAAGUUCCCUGGAGAAGCCUAACAGCUUGAGACCCCGCUGCUGUAGUCUUUCCACACUGAUCAGCUGCCGUGGUCACAGGAAAGCUCCCACCAGAUGGCCGGCCAGCCUUCUAGUGACAUUUCCCGUUUCCCGUCCAUUACUCACCAACGGAAAAUAAUGUGACAUGAACUCCCCAUUUUUGAGUAAUAUGUGGUUAUAUCCUUGUGGUUCCUGUGCUAAAGGCAAAUGAAUUAUCA